UAACCACUCAAGCUCUCGCUUGGUAUUGGAGUUCGCGAUCUCGCGGCUCCUAAAAUCAGUGGCGGUGCCUGUCGGCUCUACGCGUAGUAAUACUCCUCGCGAUUGAGUCCGGUAGGUUUACUUGCCAGCAACCCCCAAUUUUUACA
rnacentral:misc_RNA from 1 species